AACGAACGCUGGCGGCAUGCCUAACACAUGCAAGUCGAACGAGACCUUCGGGCCUAGUGGCGACCGGGUUCGUAACGCGUGGGGACCUGCGCUUAGGUUCGGAAUAACUCCCCGAAAGGGGUGCUAAUACCGGAUACUGUCUUCGGACCAGAGAUUUAUCGCCUGUGGUUGGGCCCGCGUUGGAUUAGCUAGUUGGGAGGGUAAUGGCCUACCAAGGCGGCGAUCGGUAGCUGGUCUCAGAGGGUGCUCGGCGACAUAGGGACUGAGAUACGGCCGAGACACGUACGGGGCGGAGCAGGGGGGAAUAUUGCAGAAGGGGCGCAAGCGUGAUGCAGCAACGCCGCUGGGGGGAUGACGGCCUUCGGGUUGUAGAAGCCGUUCGCUAGGGACGAUGCUUGUUGUGACGGUACCUAGACAGGAAGCACCGGCUAACUACGUG
rnacentral:rRNA from 1 species